rnacentral:rRNA from 1 species
UACGUAGGGUCGAGCGUGUCGGAUCGAUCUGGGCGUAAAGAGCUCGUAGGUGGUUUGUCGCGUUGUUCGUGAAAACUCACAGCUCAACUGUGGGCGUGCGGGCGAUACGGGCAGACUGGAGUACUGCAGGGGAGACUGGAAUUCCUGGUGUAGCGGUGGAAUGCGCAGAUAUCGAGGAGGAACACCGGUGGCGAAGGCGGGUCUCUGGGCAGUAACUGACGCUGGAGGAGCGAAAGCCGUGGGGAGCGAACAGG